rnacentral:rRNA from 1 species
CCUACGGGGGGCUGCAGUCGAGAAUCUUCGGCAAUGAGCGCAAGCUUGACCGAGCGACGCCGCGUGCGGGAUGAAGGCCUUCGGGUUGUAAACCGCUGUCAGUGGGGAGGAAGAUCCUGUGAAGAGCAGGGUUUGACUAAUCCGCAGAGGAAGUCAGGGCUAAGCUCGUGCCAGCAGCCGCGGUAAGACGAGCCUGACAAACGUUAUUCGGAAUUACUGGGCUUAAAGGGUGCGUAGGCGGUGUGGUAAGUCAGGCGUGAAAUACCUCAGCUUAA